ensembl:snoRNA SNORD115 Small nucleolar RNA SNORD115
GGGUCUAUGAUAAAAAACCAAUGUCAUGAGAAGAGCUGAUGACAUAAAAAUCAUGCUCAAUAGGAUUAUGCUGAGACAC